UACGGAGGGUGCGAGCGUUGUCCGGAUUUAUUGGGUUUAAAGGGUGCGUAGGUGGGUUAAUAAGUCAGUGGUGAAAUACGGUUGCUCAACAAUCGAGGUGCCAUUGAUACUGUUAAUCUUGAAACAAGUGGAGGUUGCCGGAAUGGAUGGUGUAGCGGUGAAAUGCAUAGAUAUCAUCCAGAAACACCGAUUGCGAAGGCAGGUGACUACGUUUUGAUUUGACACUGAGGCACGAAAGCAUGGGGAGCAAACAGG
rnacentral:rRNA from 1 species